rnacentral:rRNA from 1 species
UACGAAGGGACCUAGCGUAGUUCGGAAUUACUGGGCUUAAAGAGUUCGUAGGUGGUUGAAAAAGUUAGUGGUGAAAUCCCAGAGCUUAACUCUGGAACUGCCAUUAAAACUUUUCAGCUAGAGUAUGAUAGAGGAAAGCAGAAUUUCUAGUGUAGAGGUGAAAUUCGUAGAUAUUAGAAAGAAUACCAAUUGCGAAGGCAGCUUUCUGGAUCAUUACUGACACUGAGGAACGAAAGCAUGGGUAGCGAAGAGGAUUAGAUACCCUCGUAGUCCAUGCCGUAAACGAUGUGUGUUAGACGUUGGAAAUUUAUUUUCAGUGUCGCAGCGAAAGCGAUAAACACACCGCCUGGGGAGUACGACCGCAAGGUUAAAACUCAAAUGAAUUGACGGGGACCCGCACAAGUAGUGGAGCAUGUGGUUUAAUUCGAAGAUACGCGCAGAACCUUACCAACACUUGACAUGUUCGUCGCGACUCUAAGAGAUUAGAGUUUUCGGUUCGGCCGGACGAAACACAGGUGCUGCAUGGCUGUCGUCAGCUCGUGUCGUGAGAUGUUGGGUUAAGUCCCGCAACGAGCGCAACCCUCACUUUUAGUUGCCAUCAUUAAGUUGGGCACUCUGAAAGAACUGCCAGUGAUAAGCUGGAGGAAGGUGGGGAUGACGUCAAGUCCUCAUGGCCCUUACGUGUUGGGCUACACACGUGCUACAAUGGUAUCUACAACAGGAAGCAAGACUGCGAGGUCAAGCAAAUCCUUAAAAGAUACCUCAGUUCGGAUUGCACUCUGCAACUCGAGUGCAUGAAGCUGGAAUUACUAGUAAUCGUGGAUCAGCGUGCCACGGUGAAUGCGUUCCCGGGUCU